CCAGGGUCCGCAGAGGAAAGAGCUCCUGUAGAGUCCUAGAAGGAAUGACAACGCUCUGCCUCAGCUCCCGCUUGACAGGGAAACUACUCAGCAACUUUCAUUUAGACAUGAGGGAGUCUCUGUACAAGACGGUGAACGGGUCAUUCUGAAGUCAGACACAGAAACCACAGAGAUAGGUCCUCUGACCACUAAGUUCAGAGAAAACUUGUUUUGCAUAUCCAGGCUAAUACAACAGCCAUGUAACCCCAUUUAAGUUUCCCAUCAGGGCCUGGGAAAGAUGGGGGAGAAGCGACAGCUAAUUGUCACCACAUUGAGAAGCAAGUUCAUACUCCUGUUAAGGCAACCUGUUUU